rnacentral:pre_miRNA from 1 species
CGUGGAGGACUCCAAAGGGAUCGCAUUGAUCUCACCUUCCGCCGCAGCCGCUCGCCGGCAUGCAAGCACGUGCAUGUGGCUAGGCCUAGCUGCGCGCGAGGACAGGAUCAGUGCAAUCCCUUUGGAAUUUUCCAC